rnacentral:rRNA from 1 species
UCACGCGGGAAUCUUACCGGGUCCGGACACACUGAGGAUUGACAGAUAUAUAUACACCGUCGGAACUUGUAUCGCGGUGUUGAAAGAUGCUAGUUCUUUCAUGAUUAUGUGAUAGGUGGUGCAUGGCCGUUCUUAGUUCGUGGAGUGAUCUGUCUGCUUAAUUGCGUAUCAUAAAAAGAGACCUAGUAUACGCGUAAGAUAUCGUUUACGGUUCGUGACCCCCUUCGGGCGUGUGUCGCACGUACGUAUCAUACGCACUGGUCUCCGAUAGCAACGAACGUGACCGUACUCUAUUGUUGCAGCGAAUGUAUGCAUCUUCGGGUGUAUCUACCGCUGCUUAGCAUAUUUCAUGCCUCGUGCGUGUGUAUGCAUUAAACUAUAGAGACCGCUGUAUUUUUUUUAAACCAGAGGAAGGAUACGGCAAUAACAGGUCUGUGAUGCCCUCAGAUGUUCCGGGCUGCACACGUGCUACAAUGAUCAUUGCACUGUGCAUCUAACCCAAUGUGCGUGGACGCCACGGUAUGUAUUUAUGCUUC